GCCGGAGGGAGUGAGUGAGGCUGCCUUCCAGGGAAAUGGCAAGAACCGCCCUUUCCCCGGCUACUGCGCUCCGAUCACUUCUCAAUUUUUGUUCCCUGCGAAGCCGGGGGGGGGGGGGGAAGGAAGCGAAAAGAACGCGCGGGUGCCCGUGCCAGGGGAAGCGCGACGCUCCCUUCUCACGCGAAGCCGAGCAAAUGGUUAACUCGCCCUCGGCCGGCCGGGGCGCAGGGCGAUCUCCUGCCGUGGUGGACUGGCCGGCCGGCCGGCCGGGGGGUGGGGCGAGGUGGCUGCAAGCUGGACGGGCGGCGAGGGGUUUCACCGAUUGUCUGUCUCUUCCUCUCGCCAAGGAUCGGGAGGGUGCAACAGCGCGGACUCGAAGCGCGAUCCUGCCUGUUGCCUUGGCUUAGGGUCCCAAAUUUCUUCCUCAAAGGAUGCCGCCUCGGCGUGGGCGGGGGUCUUGGAGACAGGGGGGAGGGGGGCUUGGCGCAGGAGAGGCGGCAGGGAGCCAGCAAGGCCAAGAUGUCCCCAAGGGGAGCUUCUCCCGGGGGGGCGCGGCUUCAGAGCCAAGAGACUGGCGGUUCAUGGUUACCAGUGAUACCCAGGAGAAGUAGGUACAGCCAGGGGCAAGGGGCAAAGGGACGCCCCACCCACCCCACCCCAGCUUGGGUCCCCUUUUCCUUCAGGCAUCUUUCCAUUCCACUACUGGGUGCACCAUCCACUGUGGUUUGUGGGAUCCCAUUUCACUUUGGUUUGGACAGAACUGCAGCCCGACGGUUUCUCCUCCUUUUCCAGCCCCUGGCCCACCUUCCUCUGAGCUGCCUUGCAGUCUGGUCCUCAUGGGCUCCAGCAACCAUUUCCAUGGAUUCUCCACAGCGGAGGGUGAUGCCCACUGUCCAGGCAGGGUAGCUCAAAGGAAGGGAGGACCACUUGUCAAAGCAGGCAGAAAUAAGGUGGCAGUUCUAGGCAAAGCCACAUGAAACCAGAGUGGACUAUGUGCCCAUUGAUGGAAACAGGCACGAAGGGGAGAAGGAAAAGGAACGCAAGCGCGGAGCUUUGAGGUCUGGCCAUUUUACCUUGGUACAAGCGCAGAGCCUCAGGGUCUGGCUCAACCUCUUCUGUCCCUUGGUCCCCAUUACUUUUAGCUGCCUUGGCCUCCACCCUGCUUGCCACAGCAGACGCUAACAGCCAGUGAUUUACCAGGAUGCAAAAGAGUGGUUGUCAACAUUCUCUUGGCAUCCCACCUGUUUUGAC
rnacentral:lncRNA from 1 species